rnacentral:rRNA from 1 species
GAUGAACGCUGACAGAAUGCUUAACACAUGCAAGUCUUUGGCGAAGCUGUGCUUGCACAGCCUAGCCAAGGCGGACGGGUGAGUAACGCGUAAGGAACUUGCCCUGCAGUCAGGGAUAACAGACGGAAACGACUGAUAAGACCUGGUAAAGUCAGGCGGACUCAUGUCCAGCCUGAUGAAAAGAGAUGCUGCAGGAGAGCCUUGCGUCCUAUUAGCUUGUUGGUGGGGUAACGGCCCACCAAGGCGAUGAUAGGUAGCCGGCCUGAGAGGGUGGACGGCCACAAGGGGACUGAGAUACGGCCCUUACUCCUACGGGAGGCAGCAGUGGGGAAUAUUGGACAAUGGGGGCAACCCUGAUCCAGCAAUUCUGUGUGCACGAUGAAGGUUUUGGAUUGUAAAGUGCUUUCAGCAGGGAAGAAAAAAAUGACGGUACCUGCAGAAGAAGCGACGGCUAAAUACGUG